rnacentral:rRNA from 1 species
AUUGAACGCUGGCGGCAGGCCUAACACAUGCAAGUCGAAUGGUAACAGGAAACAGCUUGCUGUUUCGCUGACGAGUGGCGGACGGGUGAGUAAUGUCUGGGAAACUGCCUGAUGGAGGGGGAUAACUACUGGAAACGGUAGCUAAUACCGCAUAACGUCGCAAGACCAAAGAGGGGGACCCUCGGGCCUCUUGCCAUCGGAUGUGCCCAGAUGGGAUUAGCUUGUUGGUGGGGUAACGGCUCACCAAGGCGACGAUCCCUAGCUGGUCUGAGAGGAUGACCAGCCACACUGGAACUGAGACACGGUCCAGACUCCUACGGGAGGCAGCAGUGGGGAAUAUUGCACAAUGGGCGCAAGCCUGAUGCAGCCAUGCCGCGUGUAUGAAGAAGGCCUUCGGGUUGUAAAGUACUUUCAGCGGGGAGGAAGGGAGUAAAGUUAAUACCUUUGCUCAUUGACGUUAGCCGCAGAAGAAGCACCGGCUAACUCCGUG